rnacentral:rRNA from 1 species
AUGGGGCGCAGCAGGCGAGAAAACUUUGCAAUGUGCGAAAGCACGACAAGGUUAAUCCGAGUGGUUUCUGCUAAAGGAACCUUUUGUUAGUCCUAGAAACACUAACGAAUAAGGGGUGGGCAAGUUCUGGUGUCAGCCGCCGCGGUAAAACCAGCACCUCAAGUGGUCAGGAUGAUUAUUGGGCCUAAAGCAUCCGUAGCCGGCUCUGUAAGUUUUCGGUUAAAUCUGUACGCUCAACGUACAGGCUGCCGGGAAUACUGCAGAGCUAGGGAGUGGGAGAGGUAGACGGUACUCGGUAGGAAGGGGUAAAAUCCUUUGAUCUAUUGAUGACCACCUGUGGCGAAGGCGGUCUACCAGAACACGUCCGACGGUGAGGGAUGAAAGCUGGGGGAGCAAACCGGAUUAGAUACCCGGGUAGUCCCAGCUGUAAACUAUGCAAACUCAGUGAUGCAUUGGCUUGUGGCCAAUGCAGUGCUGCAGGGAAGCCGUUAAGUUUGCCGCCUGGGAAGUACGUACGCAAGUAUGAAACUUAAAGGAAUUGGCGGGGGAGCACCACAAGGGGUGAAGCCUGCGGUUCAAUUGGAGUCAACGCCAGAAAUCUUACCCGGAGAGACAGCAGAAUGAAGGUCAAGCUGAAGACUUUACCAGACAAGCUGAGAGGUGGUGCAUGGCCGUCGCCGGCUCGUGCCGUGAGAUGUCCUGUUAAGUCAGGUAACGAGCGAGAUCCCUGCCUCUAGUUGCCACCAUUACUCUCAGGAGUAGUGGGGCGAAUUAGCGGGACCGCCGCAGUUAAUGCGGAGGAAGGAAGGGGCCACGGCAGGUCAGUAUGCCCCGAAACUCUGGGGCCACACGCGGGCUGCAAUGGUAAUGACAAUGGGUUCCAAAUCCGAAAGGAGGAGGUAUCCUCAAACAUUACCACAGUUAUGACUGAGGGCUGCAACUCGCCCUCACGAAUAUGGAAUCCCUAGUAACUGCGUGUCAUUAUCGCGCGGUGAAUACGUCCCUGCUCCUUGCACACACCGCCCGUCGUUUCAUUGAAGUGAGCUUUUAGCGAGGUGACGUCUGAUUGGCGUUAUCGAACUUGAGG